ensembl:lncRNA novel transcript
AGGCCACCCCAGCCCUGCAGAACUAAGUGACUCUCCAGGGGAGCUAAAAUCCAUGUAUUUGGGCACACACUUGAACAAUAUUGCUAGAGAAAUUUAAGCAAGAGCACAAAGGCACUACGUUGUCUGGGAUGAUGGAAGGAGCUAAAGUCUUCAGUGAAUGAAGGAGCAGGACCAGGAGCUCAAAAUACUUCUUUGAAGACAAAGAAGAAAUGAUAUUACCAAAUGGUUGGCUCAAAAGAACAGGGAUUUUGCAACAGAGAGAGUAUGUCAUGGUCUUGAACAAGCAAUGUUUUGCCAGGACGAUUAAAUAUCAUUGAUGCUUCUGGUCUACAAUUAGUCAGAGAAGAGAUUAAAAAAAUGAUGAGUAUUCAAGAAGGAAAGUGUUUGCUUUAACAUAUGAAGAAAAGGAGCUUCAGAGUGGUGAUUAACCCCAGAAUUGUGUGGAACGGAUAUGGAAACAAGACCACAGGAGCAUCGAGAACUGAGCAGAACUGAAGGUGACAUGAAAAUCAGCUGCAAGAUUCACCUCAGGGUGAUAAUGGGCUGCAGGUGGCUGCAGGAAUCCCGGGACAUUCUAGGCACUGCCAUAUUUUCUUAGGGGCCAGUAAGGAUGGCUAUCAUCAGAUGUACCUGAUGAUACAAACAUGGGCUGUCUUGCCUUCUAGUAUUCAUUCUUGAUGAUUGCAUCCAGAGCUCACUUUGGAGGUGCAGAUCAACUCUUCUUCAGGCUCAUCCAUGCGACUUGAGUGGGCUCUCAUCCCCAUUCCCAGGGGCUUAUGACAAUCAAGGUUUCCACUCCUCCAUGGUCUCAAUGGUUUUUCUCCCCAUGGGAAGCACAUAAUCCCAUUAGAGGCCACGGGAAGCUUUUUUGUUGGGCUUUGAGGGAAAAAAGGCUUUUGCAGCCAAUGAAUCGAUCAAUGUGUACUUCAACCUGGAUUGUAUGUAUGCAUCUCCUAGAUUGGGCGGAUGAUGAAGUGAGGCUGGAAGUGCUGAGCAUCUUCCUACCUGGGAUGACUGGGCUGAGCAGGAAGCCUACCCCGGGGUUCCAGCCAAGUUGGAGCCUGUGAGUGUGUGGUGUAGUUUAACGCCCUGAUUAAAUCACUAGGAAGCCAUUUCUCUCUCUCCUCCCAGACCAGAUCAGACAAUAUGUUCCCUUAUUUCUACUAAAGCCCCAAUUGGAUUUUGUGUCUUUUGAUACUGAAAGAAUCUUACCACAAAUAAAAUAAUUUGUCAU